rnacentral:rRNA from 1 species
GAUGAACGCUGGCGGCGUGCUUAACACAUGCAAGUCGAACGGUGAAAGAGAGCUUGCUCUCUGGAUCAGUGGCGAACGGGUGAGUAACACGUGAGCAAUCUGCCCCUGACUCUGGGAUAAGCGCUGGAAACGGCGUCUAAUACCGGAUACGAGCUGCGAAGGCAUCUUCAGCAGCUGGAAAGAACUUCGGUCAGGGAUGAGCUCGCGGCCUAUCAGCUAGUUGGUGAGGUAAUGGUUCACCAAGGCGUCGACGGGUAGCCGGCCUGAGAGGGUGACCGGCCACACUGGGACUGAGACACGGCCCAGACCCCUACGGGAGGCAGCAGUGGGGAAUAUUGCACAAUGGGCGCAAGCCUGAUGCAGCAACGCCGCGUGAGGGACGACGGCCUUCGGGUUGUAAACCUCUUUUAGCAGGGAAGAAGCGAAAGUGACGGUACCUGCAGAAAAAGCACCGGCUAACUACGUGCCAGCAGCCGCCGUAACAC